rnacentral:lncRNA from 1 species
AAGUCUCUGAAAACGGUGUUGUGAGACUGGAGCAACCACUCCACACAAGGUCUGAGGCAGCCUAACAACUACAAAGGUUGCACACAUUUCUGUGUCUAUUCGGGAUCUCAUGCCGCACGUGGAGCAGGUUUAUGACGUUUAUGUAAGAAAUCGUCGAUGUGUAAACUAUCUUAAGGCUCAUUUAGUCUGGCAGUUCACAUGGGUCCCGGGAAUGACUGUCAUUAGCGAGUAAGCAGUGACUCACGACAACCGAUGUUGACACCAGAAAGUGUGAUUCUGUCCUCGUACCGCUAUGUCCACGUAAAAUAGGGGCCAGCCUAUGCAGACGUCUUGUUUUUUUCUGCAUAUCGAAUGCUCCAGGGGCUUCGCAAUCGCAGUCACGCGAAUUAAAGAAACCUAGUAAUGAGCGACUGGCCCCAAAUAGUCACUACUCGACCCAUUGCGACCAACUUGUGCAUGUGACCACUGCGUGUAGUUGAUGUGAAAGGAGCCAUGUGACAUACGCGAUUUCGACGGUUUCAAAGAGCUUUCGUAUAGCACACAGGAUCCUUGUGUGUUUCCGUGUGUAAUACUUCAAUCUCGCUUAUUUUUUCAGAUAUACAGAACGCUAUGGGAAGAAAAGUCAUUUUACGCUGGACUACGAUGGCCACGUCGUAAGACGCUCCGGUUCCAUCAGUUGCAGCAGCGUUGUUAUUUCUGAGUGUUCAUUGUAAUAAAAGUGUAUAAUUGUAAUGAAGUAAUCCUUAGAUGUCGCAGUGCAUCGACUGAGUGAGACAAUCUGUACAUUUCUGUGUAAUAAAUGCCCGUUUUACUUUAGCUAAGAACAAGCGUGAGGGAGAUUGGUAUUUGACGCACGAUAAGUGGGUGUCUCACCAUGAAACAGCCCAGAUGAAUUAUUUAGGUUUGUAAGUCACUUUAGCAAAUAUGAUGUAAAGGUUGUGAUUACACCCUCGUCCCGAUACAAA